rnacentral:tRNA from 1 species
GCACUAGUAGUUCAGUGGUAGAAUUCUCUCCUUCCAUGUGGGAGACCCUAGUUUGAUCCCUAGCCAAUGCA